UACGUAGGGACCAAGCGUUGUUCGGAUUUACUGGGCGUAAAGGGCGCGUAGGCGGCAUGACAAGUCACUUGUGAAAUCUCCGGGCUUAACUCGGAACGGCCAAGUGAUACUGUCGAGCUAGAGUGCAGAAAGGGCAAUCGGAAUUCUUGGUGUAGCGGUGAAAUGCGUAGAUAUCGGGAGGAACACCUGAGGCGAAGGCGGGCUACUGGGCCGAUACUGACGCUGAUGCGCGAAAGCCAGGGGAGCAAACGGG
rnacentral:rRNA from 1 species